GGACUAACUUAGGGGAUGUAAAAAAAUUAUCAUAAUAUACAUGAUACCCUUGCCCCAAAUAUGGAUUCACCAACUUCAUCACCACAUCAUAACCAAGGCCAUUACGUGACGGUGCUUCAUGCUGGGACUUACCUAUGUAAACAUUAAAAUCAAUUGUAUAUCCAUUUGAACUAUCUGCCAGUACCCAGAGCUUUAUCCCCCAUUUUGUAGGCUUAUUUUUCAUGUAUUGCCUAAUCCCUGACCUAUGUUUAGACUUAACCAUGCGUUCAUCUACAGCAAUAUUCUGGUACGGUUGGUAUAACAUACGGCAUCGCUCUUUGAAUGGUGCCAGAAACUCCUCAACCUUGCGCAGUUUAUUGCUAGCAACCUCUUCGGCGGGGUCUACCACAUGCAAGAAUGCCAUAAGGGCUUUGUAACGCCUACGGGAAAGUAUUUUCCUCGCCCAGAGACCGUGGUAAAGGGUCUUCGUGCUCCAAUACUUUUCAACUGCUGUGUCCACACGUACCAGACCAAAAUAAAUCAAAAUGGCAAUCAAACGAUUUAUUUCAUCUUCAGUAGUUGUUUGCCAGGCCCCCUCCCCAGUGGUGUAUGAAGUGAACCCCCCAGCUACAAGUCUCAUGAAUGCGUAGCUGUUGGUGUGGGCAACAACUGAUUUUUAUCAUCUCAGUGGUAAAGAAGAGACGAAAAAAUUCUAAUUCAGUUGUCAUUCCUCCCCGCAAGACAUGCCUAUCAAAAUGAAUUCCUGGCGGACGGCUUCGUUGAAAGGGAGGGAGGGUAUUCC